AACGAACGCUGGCGGCAGGCUUAACACAUGCAAGUCGAACGCCCCGCCAGGGGAUUGGCAGACGGGUGAGUAACGCGUGGGAACAUACCCUUUUCUACGGAAUAGCCCUGGGAAACUGGAAAUAAUACCGCAUACGCCCUACGGGGGCAAGGUUUAUCGGGGAAAGAGUGGCCCGCGUGGGAUUAGCUAGUUGGUGGGGUAAAGGCCUACCAAGGCGACCAUCCAUACCUGGUCUGAGAGAAUGAUCAGCAACCUUGGGACAGAGACACGGCCCAGUCUCCUACGGGUAGCAGAGGUGGGGAAUAUUGCACAAAGGGCGCAGGCCUACUCCAGCCAUGCCGCGCGAGUGAUGAAGGCCUUAGGGUUGUAAACCUCUUUCGCCGGUGGACUUAAUGACGGUAGGCGGAGAGGAAGCCCCGGCUACGUGCGUGCAUGAAGCCGCCGGAG
rnacentral:rRNA from 1 species